GUCUACGGCCAUACCACCCUGAACGCGCCCGAUCUUGUCUGAUCUCGGAAGCUAAGCAGGGUCGGGCCUGGUUAGUACUUGGAUGGGAGGACAUGGACAUCUUUGGGGCGGGGGCA
ensembl:rRNA 5S_rRNA 5S ribosomal RNA